AUGUCGGUGACUUCCAACACCCCGACGAGGGCCAACUCGCGAGUGAACUACUCGAACGAGAUCCACGACCUGUCCACGGUGCAGGACGGCGCCCCCAGCCUCGCCCCCAGCAUGUACUACCAGGAGAAGUCCUUCGCCGACUUCUUCCCUCCCCACCUCGGCAAGAAGGUGAUAUCGGAGAUGGUGGCGACGUUCCUGCUGGUGUUCGUGACGUGCGGGGCGGCGUCCAUCUACGGCGCCGACGUGACGCGCGUCUCGCAGCUGGGCCAGUCCGUCGUCGGCGGCCUCAUCGUCACCGUCAUGAUCUACGCCACCGGGCACAUCUCCGGCGCGCACAUGAACCCCGCCGUCACGCUCUCCUUCGCCUGCUUCCGGCAUUUCCCCUGGAUUCAGGUGCCGUUCUACUGGGCGGCGCAGUUCACGGGGGCGAUGUGCGCCGCGUUCGUGCUGCGGGCGGUGCUGCACCCGAUCACGGUGCUGGGGACGACGACGCCCACGGGGCCGCACUGGCACGCCCUCGUUAUCGAGAUCAUCGUCACCUUCAACAUGAUGUUCAUCACCUGCGCCGUCGCCACGGAUUCGAGGGCGGUGGGUGAGUUGGCGGGGUUAGCAGUUGGUUCCGCGGUUUGCAUUACGUCCAUCUUCGCAGGGCCUGUGUCAGGAGGAUCGAUGAACCCGGCGAGGACUCUGGCGCCGGCGGUGGCCAGCGGCGUCUACACCGGCCUCUGGAUCUACUUUCUUGGCCCCGUCAUCGGCACUCUCUCCGGUGCCUGGGUCUACACCUACAUCCGCUUCGAGGAGGAGCCCUCCGUCAAGGACGGCCCGCAGAAGCUCUCCUCCUUCAAGCUCCGCCGCCUGCAGAGCCAGCGGUCCAUGGCCGUCGACGAGUUCGACCACGUCUGA
rnacentral:rRNA from 1 species